CAGGGGUAUCGAAGGACUCAUUCAAUAUUUGAAUGAUCUGCUCAGGCUGCACAUCCUCAAACUUAUGGCUAAGUUCAUCGUUCAUAGCUGCCCUCAUCACAUAGCGCACAGUCGUUCGAUCAUUGAGCCACUUUAUGUAAGUAUCUCUCAUGGUAUGAGUAGCAUUGGCAGCAGGUUCUUUCGAUGCUUCAUCCGUAAGGACGUAUAGAA
rnacentral:lncRNA from 1 species